GUAGGUGGCAAGCGUUGUCCGGAAUUAUUGGGCGUAAAGCGCGCGCAGGCGGUUCUUUAAGUCUGAUGUGAAAGCCCACGGCUCAACCGUGGAGGGUCAUUGGAAACUGGAGAACUUGAGUACAGAAGAGGAAAGCGGAAUUCCACGUGUAGCGGUGAAAUGCGUAGAGAUGUGGAGGAACACCAGUGGCGAAGGCGGCUUUCUGGUCUGUAACUGACGCUGAGGCGCGAAAGCGUGGGGAGCAAACAGGGAUUAGAUACCUUGGUAGUCCACGCCGUAAACGAUGAGUGCUAAGUGUUAGGGGGUUUCCGCCCCCUUAGUGCUGCAGCUAACGCAUUAAGCACUCCGCCUGGGGAGUACGGCCGCAAGGCUG
rnacentral:rRNA from 1 species